GAUGAAAGCUAGCGGCAGGCUUAAUACAUGCAAGUCGAGGGGCAGCAUGAUUGUAGCAAUACAAUUGAUGGCGACCGGCAAACGGGUGCGGAACACGUACACAACCUUCCAACAAGUGGGGGAUAGCCCAGAGAAAUUUGGAUUAAUACCCCGUAACAUAGCGAUGUGGCAUCACAUUGCUAUUAUAGAUUUUUCGCUUGUUGAUGGGUGUGCGGCUGAUUAGAUGUUUGGCGGGGUAACGGCCCACCAAGUCUACGAUCAGUAGCUGAUGUGAGAGCAUGAUCAGCCACACGGGCACUGAGACACGGGCCCGACUCCUACGGGAGGCAGCAGUAAGGAAUAUUGGACAAUGGACGCAAGUCUGAUCCAGCCAUGCCGCGUGAAGGAUUAAGGUCCUCUGGAUUGUAAACUUCUUUUAUAAGGGACGAAAAAAGGCUUUUCUAAGUCGUCUGACGGUACCUUAUGAAUAAGCACCGGCUAACUCCGUGCCAGCAGCCGCCGUAAUAC
rnacentral:rRNA from 1 species